AAAGUCGUAACAAGGUUUCCGUAGGUGAACCUGCGGAAGGAUCAUUAUUGAAGUCGCUGAGAGGUUUGUUGCUGGCCCUCCGGGGCAUACUGUGCACGGCCUCCCUCACUUUAUCAACCACCUGUGCACCUUUUGUAGUCUUUCAGAUGCUUUCUUCAGUCCUUCACACAGACUUGAUGUAGGGACUCUAGCUGUGCAGUACUUUUGUAUUCGCACAGCUUCAGUUCAAUAUCUGAUGAGACUAUCUUUUACAUAUAACUCUGUCAAUGUCUAAGAAUGUGUAUAUCAUGGUCAUUAAGUUGGCCUUAAUAAAAUACAACUUUCAACAACGGAUCUCUUGGCUCUC
rnacentral:misc_RNA from 1 species